AACACUUAGAAAUGAAAAGCAGAUCGUCGCCCUACUCAGACUCCUUCGCGCCGCACCCGGUGCUCAGACCAUGUGUGUGCUACCACCAAGUCGGCGCUUUGUCACCGUAACUCCACCAACUUCGUCGCCCAUAGCAAAGCUUGGUCAAUGGAGGUUGUCGCCCAUAGCAGCACCCACUGUCUUCGCCGUCGCAGUCGCUCGUCGCCUUUGCCGUCAAUCCUCGAUGUUUUCUUAUUUCUCGUUGUCGUCGAUGCGCUCCUUGCUGUUUCUAGUCCCCUUCACCGUAUUGCUACAGUGUGAAAUUGGUGGAGCAAGAGUUAUGGCAGAAAGAAGAUAAGGGAGUGAUUGCGAUUCUCCUUGUUCAGGAUUCUGCAGAGACUAGUACUGUGGAUCCUGCUUUGUCUCUAGGCAUGGGAACUGAUUUUGUAGAGUAUACCUUGAAAAAUCAAGCUAGCAUAUCAGAUUUAACAAACAUGAUGGAAAAAGUCUGCAACAAGUUCACUGGCAUAAGUGGGUAGUUGCUGCUUGAGCUCUGCAUCUCUCAAGAGAAGUAGAGAGACCAAGUGGGAGAGUGACUUAUUCAGUUGUGUUAGGACUUUGUAGAUUCUGUGUACAGGAGAUAAGUACCAGAGGGACUUAUUACACAGCACGAAUUACUUCUCUUGAGUUGACUAAAGCUGAUCAUAUGGUACAAUAAGAUGAGGAGUUGAAGCUUCCAAGACAUUACCUUGUUUCUCUCCCAAAAAUUGACAGAGCUUCUGACUGUAGAGUUCUGGAGGGAAGCUGAUAUUCUGUCAAAGCUUCAUCACCCAAAUGUGGUGGCAUUUUAUGGUGUAGUACAAGAUGGAAUAGGAUGGAACACUUGAUACUGUUACUUAGUAUUAUGCUAGAUGGUUCUCUAAGGCAUGUUCUACUUUGCAAAGAUAGGUACUAUAUAUUCCCUCUGCUUGAUGUAAUUCUUUAACUUGGAAGGGAACCUAUUCACACAUAAGUAUUCAAUGCUACACACAAACUUAAACGGGAGGAGGAUAUGUAUGCCAAAAAGCACAACAAGGUAAUGUGCUUAGGGCAUGAAAAGAGUUGUUCUAACUGCUUUUUCUGAACUGAGGAGCAAAAUCAAGUGAUGCAACAGUAGAAAUAAGAUAUGCAUGAGGAAAAUCAGAGGAUCCGUGAUAUCGUUCAGAAAAUAGAAGCAACACUUGCCCACUUUAGUGCAAAUCUUGGUAGUCUUGAUCAAGAUCCAAACAAAAAUAGCUCCAAUGACGAUACACUACCCCCCCUCCACCUCCGAUGAUGAUACACUAUCCCCUCUAGUCAAGAUUAGAUAGCAUAUUAUUUGAAUGAUUUGAAAAUCUGUUUUGGAUGGUGAAACAUAGCUGCAAACAAAAGUUGUAUUUUUUAUAGUGAAGCAAUUGCUACACUUUGGAUUUAAAUGAUUGAAUAAUGUUUGAUUCCCUUGAAUUGCUAAUAUUGUGGUGUUGAAUUUGA